CCUAGGGAGGAAAAACUAAGGAAAAUUUGUUGAAUUUUCAAGAAAUUGGUGACUAAAGGUGGUGAGCCCUCGGAUAAGGGUAAAGGUAUUGCACCCGAGGAUCAAGAAUAGGAGUGUUGUAAAUUCCCGUCAAAGUUCAAGAUAAUCUGUAGGCAGUCGAUUUCAUCAAGGA